CUUUACUGACGCUAAAGCUCGAAGGUGCGGGUAUCGAACAGGAUUAGAUACCCUGGUAGUCCGCACGGUAAACGAUGGAUGCCCGCUGUUUGCGAUAUACUGUGAGCGGCCAAGAGAAAUCGUUAAGCAUCCCACCUGGGGAGUACGCCGGCAACGGUGAAACUCAAAGGAAUUGACGGGGGCCCGCACAAGCGGAGGAACAUGUGGUUUAAUUCGAUGAUACGCGAGGAACCUUACCCGGGCUUGAACUGCAGGAGAACGAAUCAGAGAUGAUGAGGUCCUUCGGGACUCCUGUGGAGGUGCUGCAUGGUUGUCGUCAGCUCGUGCCGUGAGGUGUCGGCUUAAGUGCCAUAACGAGCGCAACCCCUUUCGUUAGUUGCCAUCAGGUGAUGCUGGGCACUCUGGCGAUACUGCCACCGUAAGGUGUGAGGAAGGUGGGGAUGACGUCAAAUCAGCACGGCCCUUACGUCCGGGGCUACACACGUGUUACGAUGGGUGGUACAGAGAGCGGGUCGUCUGCAAAUGCGAUCAAAUCCUAAAAGCCAUCCUCAGUUCGGAUUGGGGUCUGCAACCCGACCCCAUGAAGCUGGAUUCGCUAGUA
rnacentral:rRNA from 1 species